rnacentral:tRNA from 1 species
UGUCCUAUGGUGUAAUGGUAGCACAGCAGACUCUGGAUCUGUUAGUCUGGGUUCAAAUCCUAGUAGGACAACAA